UUUUUUUUUACCGAUUUCUUUCCCUCUGUUUUUUGAAAGUUCAGCUUUACAAAUACAAUUUUUACCAUGAUCUGCAUAUGCAUGGCAAUAUUCAGCACCUCUAAGUAUUGCUAGGGCUUCUCUGGCACUGUGGCUUUCUGGCAUAGGCUGGUGGAAGCAUAAGUGCUCCCGAAGCAGUGAACUUCAAUGACCUUGCUUUGUAGGCAUCUGACAAAAGAUGUACUACCAAAGCUUCAGAGUGAGCCUGUGUUAUAGUAAAGUACAUGUGUAACUCACGCAUACAGUCAAAGUUUAGGCUUAUAUUUUGACAUCUUAAAAAUUCUCUUAAGAUGACACUUUAAAUUGUUAAAUCUGUAAGCAAGAAAUUUAUUCUAGUGGUAGGAGUACUCAAAGACGUUUCUGUUGUGUUAUGUGUCCGCAGACAACAGAAGUGUAUCUGACUAGAAAGAAAACACUGAGCUUGGCUUUAAAGCUAUAUUAAACUUUCAUGAAGCUCACUGCUGACUGAACUAUGCUUGGUAUAUUGUGGUGCUGCCUGCAGUCUUUUCUGCUGCACAGCAAGAACAGCAUCAGAAGGGGUAGCUGUAUAGUUGGUCUUUGACGUGAGCUGUGCACAUUAUGAAAGCAUCAGCUGUCAGUACUUUCUUUUUGGUAAAUUAAGCAUAGCUUUGUGAGGCAGCAAGUGUUCCAUCUGUGAGACAGGCAUGUGAUACUGAACCAAGAGUGAGCCUGCUCCUUUAGAUGGUUAACAUUUUAGUCCUUUUACGGUAAGGUGCUUUCAUUCAUGGCACAAUUUUUAACUGCAGCUGUAACUAGUAAUUGGUACAACCCAUGUCCUUAGAGUUGCUGGGAUUUAUUCCAGCUGGAAUUUAAAUAUACCCCAACGUGCACACAAUGUGCUCUCGUCUGAUUUUGAAAGUACUUAGCAUACUGUGGCAGCAGGGCAUAAGGACUCCUGAGAGAAGUGGACUAUGUCUGCAAGAGUAGGCUGUUGCCAAUCCUGUGUUUUGCUGCAGGUAGAACAAACAGCACACUAAGCUAAAUGCUUGUCACUUUUGAAUUUCAUUUAAGGUGCCAUUAUGAAACCGGCAAGGCUGUUAUUUUAAUGCAAAUGUUAGAGAUGAGAACACAUUCAAGACCUGCUUGCUCAGUGCACGUUAGUUAAAUUAGUUGACUUUCCUUGAGGAUCCUGUAGUUGUUCCGAGGGCAGUCUCAGCUGUACGCAGCUCUGAUGUUACAGCUCUUCUAAGAGAGAUGGACCAGUCUGCUCAGACUUGACCAUUCUGUGAAUGUCUUUUUUAUAAGUGUACAAUUGCUUUCUAAUUUAUGCCAGGUGAGCAAAUGUUUGGUUUUUUUAAAAAAUUUUUCUGGCAGCAUGUUCCCCCACUGUGCUACUGUGUGGUAUCAGAUCCUACCACUCAAUGCUACUUUUGUAUUUUAUGUUUGGUAAUGAUGCUCCUCCUAUAAAGUGUUGUAUUACACGUAACCUGUAAGAUAUUUGUUGUUCUGUUCUCUUUGCAGUUGUUUUUCUCCUGCUUGUUCUGGAGAUGUACAUCUGGCUUAAGCAGCCAUUUGGACCAAAAUUUUUUUUCUUCCUGUAGAUCUUCCUGUCGUUCUUAGGUUUGAAUAGAGACAUGAGGAUUCUCAUUUGUUUGCUAAUAACGCUGAUUUUUUUCUCUUUUCUGCUGACUGCAAAGAUUUUCAAGUAGAUCUUUAUAUGACAGGCCUCUGCCACAGGAUUUUGUUAUUAUUGGUUUGUUCUAUCAAUUUGCAUGAGAAUUUGGAAAUAACAUGAGGCACUUUUCUGAUGUGAAAAUACCAUCACUGGCUUAUACUUUUGUUGUAUCUCAUAUUGGAUCAGUUCAUAGGAUAAGAAAGUCUUUCUUAUUUACCACAAAAUGAGUUUUCUUGGGUCAUAUCAAGUUGUAUGUCUCAUGCCGUAGCUUAGGGAUGACAGUUUUGAAGGCUAAAUAUUGUUAAGCCUGUAUGUUUCUGACUUCAAUUUAAAUGGCUAAAGGAAAAGCUUGAGAGAUGAUUUAGUAGCAGGGGGAACUGUACUACAGCAGUAGAACCUUACAAAACAGUUUACUGAUGUGCAAACCAUAAAGAAUCCAGUUAGUGCUCCUGGAGUGGUGGUUUGUGCUGAUGCUUGUAAACAUUUCUGUCACCAAAUUAAGCAGAUGUCAUGGAACAUGAACACUCAAUACACAUAAGGUGUCCUUCUAAUUAACCUUGUUUGUUUAUGCUGGGAGAAUAUGAUCUCUUGUUGUUGUGCAGGCUAGCACUGAAUACGACAAAGAACAUUGCUGCUUUUCUUCUUUGUGUGUCUAUGUAAAGCUUAUUUCUGAAUUUCCAUAAAUCAAGUAGUACUCUGCAUUUUACAAAGUUUCCUCUACUUGAUGCCAUAAUUUUAAGGGAAAAUAGUUUAUACUGGCAAAAGCUGCCACUUCACUGAAGAGCAUUAAAGCUGUUUUUACUUUAAAGAGUGAAACAUGUAUGGACUGGAGAUAAAUAGUUCUCCUAAAAAGGGAAUGUAUAUUUACACAUUCUUGGUGUAAUAGCAGAGGUUAUUUUUACACGUUUCAGAUUUACAUUCCAAUGUGAACACUGAGAAGCAGGAUGUUAAUUCAGUGGCUUUCAGGGGUUGGUAGAGCAAGCUGGGCUUAGACAAUAAAUGCUGUAUUAAUAGUUAGCAGUGACAAUUUCAUCAGCAUAGGAAUUGUGGGGUAUAAUUAACAUCAGUUGCUUUGACACUAUGCUUUUAAUGUAUGGUUUCAACCUUUCUUUCAGUAGCAGUUGGAGAAUGCACUGUGACAAAUUAUUGCUGAUACAAAGUAGGUCAACAGUAAAAUGGCUGACUUACCAUAAGUGAACAGAUCUAAAUUAUUGUUAACUUCAUGUCUAGAGGAAUUUUCUUAGUGGCUAAGGCUGUGCUCUCGUGUUUCUCAAGCGUGAACCUUGUGUACAGCUUUUCCUAACUCCUUAUUUCCUAACCGUUUGAUAUUUUUGUCUAAACAAGAAGGAGCAUUUCCUCCCAGCUGCUGGGAAGAAAUCCACGCAAGCACUAGUGCUGCAUGCCUGACAGCAGAUGUUUGCCCUCGUAGUAUUGCAAUUCUGUGACUGCAAAGCUGGCAAGGAGAAUUGACUCGCAACUAAGGAAAACAAGUAAAAUGCUGCAUCUUCAAGUUUCGUGUUUUCUUUGCUGAAAGUGACUGGUGACAACGUAUCAUGAAGGGAAAUAGGAUGAUACUGGAUGAGAAAAAUCCCAGGCUGAGAGAAUGUUGCUUAUGUUUUUUGCAGAGCAAAGUGAUUCCUGUGAUCAGCUGCACAGUGUCAUCAUGGCUUGCAAAAGUCUUCUAAUGUUUUCUUGAGAGGCAUAGCUUUUACCUUUUAGACAUCAGGAAAGAUAGAUACCUAUCGUAUCUUUUAGAUAUCUAGCUUUCAGAUUCUCUGGGGCACUGUAAAAUCCAGUGUUAUUGUUUUAUGUGCUGAUUAUGUAACUGAAUGAAAUGAUAAACGUUAGCAUCGUAAGGAUGCAAGGGAGGAGAACUUCAGUCUUCUUGGAGCAGCUUUGAAUGUAUGCAAAGAGCAGCAGUGUCUGGGAUGUCCAAUGACAGUGUCAGGGCUGGGGAUGCUGCCCAGCAUUCACAGUUGGGUUGCAGGCAGCAGCACUUACCUAAGGAGCUCUAACAUGGAGCUUGGGUACAUCUUCUAACUCACAGAUCAGCUUAAAGACAGAUUUCUAGUACCAAUGAUAUCAUCUGAUGACAUUGGCUGCAAUUAAGAGUUUCCAACAGUGUGCCCUUGCUUUCCUAUAUUCUACGAAGUUCAAUUAUUGCUUUUUUUAAUGUAAGAAUAUGUAAUAAUUGGUGGGUUUGGAGUUUUGCUGUGCACAAAUUAAUGAGUUUCUUGUAUGUUAAAAGGAAUAUUGAAAGAUAGUAUUUCUUCUCUGCACUGAAGUUUAAACAAAGUUUUAUUUGUAUGUAUAUGGGGUACAAAUAUAGAUUUCUUGUAUAACAUAUAUAUAUACACGCAUUUAAUUAUUAGUCUAUUUUUCAGUGGGUCAUCCUGAAUUCCCUGCUGGCUGUGAUUUAAUUCAAGUCACUGCAGGUAUUCUGAAGAUUGUAAUUUUGCAUAGGUGGGGGGCAAUUAUCCUCUAUUCACUUUUUAUGCCUUAAGACUCUGGUAUUAAGAGGAGCAUGUAUUCUUAUUUUUCUCUUGAAUUUUUCAGUAUGUGAAUUUGAAGCUUGACUCAAUUUACUACUCAGUUGAGUAGAUUUUCCUGGGUUUUCUGUGUUCUAAAGUAAAUUAUAGUUGUCUAGAGGAAUGUUUGCAACAUUUUAAUCAGUGUGAUACCGGGCUGACAGGAAAUAAAGCAAAGAUACUUUUUUACUUUGUACAUUCACACCAACAGUUUGUAACAUAGGAGAGAGGUUUCUCUGGUGUCUGGUGAGCAGGUGGCUGGACAAUCAACCAAAGGUCGUUUUGUUUGAGUCUAGCACGCUUCACUAGAUGGGUGCAACAGAACAGUUGCUUCUGUAUGGUAACAUUCACUUUCUAUAGUGUGUAAGUUAGGUAUUUGUUUACAGGUGUGAGAAACUCCAUAGCCUCACCACAAAAUAAAAUCAAGGUGCUUGUGUGGCACAUCUAACGCUAUAAAGUUAUACUAGUGAUGUUAACCAACUUUGCAGUUCCACCUCUAGAUGUAGCCUUUGUUAUAAUAAUUUCAUUUUUAACUCCUAUCUUCCCUCUUCCUUUGUCACUUGCAGCCUAUUGUCUAACUCCCUCGCUUGCAGGCAGCAUGAGGUCAUUCUGUUUGUGGAUCAAACUGUAGGGAAAAAAAAGGAGGCAGUGGAAAUGGCAAUAUCAGCCUGAAUCAAGAUGACAUUAAAGAAAAUGAUAAAUUUAGUUUGAUGUUUGUAAAGGACCCAUGUCUGUGUGAUGAAGGCACCAGACUUUAAAUUUUGAUGGUGUUUAUCAUUCUUUCUUUGUUGUCUGCAUACAUUUAACAUAGGUGAGGCUUUUGUAAUAUAAUUGAGGAAAAACGUAUCACAGAUAUGUAAGUAUUUUUUAGAAGGAACAGCUGAAUAAAUAUGUCUGCUUGAUUGUUUAUCCAAAUGUUCCUGUGACUAUCUUCAAAGCUUAUUGCUUACAGAAUUGACAAGCCCUGCAUCAUGAACAGCAGAACCCUGGCUCUGAAUACUGAAAUGAUAGUUUCUGCAAUUAUUCAGUAGAAAAAUACGUGCAUGUCACUCAAAUUUGAAAUCACUAUUCAUAGAGUUUACUGAAGUUGAAGUUAAUUCCAAACCAACCUGAUAUGUGUACAAAAUGUCACCUGAAUUAUUAAAGUGAUGUAACCCCAUGGUAAAUUCUGCAGAACAGAUAUGUGAUUUAUUUUUCUUGCCCCUUUUGUUAUACCCUUCUCUCUACAGGAACAUCCCUUUGCAAGCAUUUUACAAACAGUAAAAUGAAGAUUGGUGUUCCGAUGUUCUAAAAUAUAGGACCUCAGCCUCUGCGCAUUCCUAAUUUUACUGGGACUUGAAUUUUUGCUGUGGGAAUGUGAAAAACACGGGAAGCUGCUCUCUGCCAAGUUAUUUCCCCAAGGAUCUGCUUUACAUACUGACAAUCAAUGACCUGUCAGGUGUAGUUAUGCACCAUAGCAAUGAUAUGAGGUCAAUCAGAUGAAACCAAGACAUUUUGAAUUCAUCUGUUGAUUUUCUGUGCUGCAAGACCAGCAUGUGAAUCAUGUCAGCAACUGCACUCCAUGUUUCAAAAACAUGUAAAAACAUUACAGUUCUUCAAACAGAAGAAGCAGAGAUCUGGAUCCCCAGUGGAGUGCUGGAAAAAGAACACAAAGGUGGGAUGUAAGAUGAUACCCUCAUCCUUUUAUGGGGGAUAAUUUGUAGCUAACAUAUGAAGUUGGUACACAAUUUGAGGAAAUGAGCAUCCCACCCAUUUUUUCUUUGUGUGCUCUGUAGAAUUCAUAUCCUUCCAUUUUUGUUUUUUGUUUCCUUGAAUUGUGCCUCAUAACUUAUUGUCACUGCUCAUUAGCUGUUGGUGUGUUGGGAGGGUUGUCCAGACAGUGACCCUGCAUGGUAACAGCCGAGCAGUUCAGAAGAGAGUCAAAAUUCACGGUGACCUUUAACGAAAUAUAAAUCCGAAGAAAACUGCUUUUACUUUACCAUAUCUGAAACAAAGUGAGAACUAUUAUUAUCUUUAGUCUUUGCUGUCAUGGUAUUUAAAGAUACUCUGAAGCAGAGGAAAUACGUUUUCUGAUGGGACCCUACUAUUGUCCUGGUUUUGGUGAAUGGGAUACGUCAUUUAAACUCCUAUUUUCCUCUGACCAUCACAUUUAGUUCCUGGUUGUCCAGUUCUCAGCCAGGGCUGCUGCGUGUUUUGACAGUGAAUCCUGAGAGCUGCAGCUUGUUUGCACAUUCCCCUUUCCCCUGGAAGAGAAGGCCUGUAGGUAACCUGUGAAUGCAGUGCCAUUUGCAUUUUUUCUUUCUAAUUUUUCCUGUUUUCCCGAUAGCAGCAAGGAAGUACCAGAUCCAGUUGCCUUUCUCCUUCCUGCCACUCCAGAGCCUUGCUGUAGGAGCAGAUUGGGCUGCUCCAAACCAGCUGGCAGAGAAAAGCAUCCAUUUGACAGGCGGGCAGAGCGGCAAAGGGGAGCUGGAGGCUGGAGAGGACCGCGCUCUCCAGGGGAGAUGCAGGUUUUUGGCAAGCUGCAGCCUGCCCUCAGAGUGCACCUGCCCACAGUGAGGGGCUGAGGGGACAGCCUGCAGCAGGGCAGAAAGAGCUGGGGGCCACGUCCUCAGCUGCUGCCUGCUCCAGUGGGACAGUGAA